CCUACGUUUAAAAAUAUUCCUCGUGAUUUCCGGUGUCGUACUACAAUGCAAUAAUUCUAGAAAAAGGAGUAGAACUCAUUCAUCAACAAUAGAAAUAAAGAAAGAGAGAGAGAGUGACAUACGAAAAGUGGCGACAGAGAAAGGCGUCCCUGGUUUGAACACGUUCCCGUGCAUGUACGUAGCGAGUGCCAGCGUGGAGCACCAAACGUUUUUGGCACCAAUAUUUAAAUGGCUUCAACAGGACGCCGCUCACACAGUCCACGCAGCUGGCUUAGACGAUGGAAGUACGUAUUCUUCGUCUGGUAGCUGAUUUUGAGAGUUUUCGAGUGGGGCGCAAGAACUGAAAAUGUUCGAAGUAGAUUCACCUGCAAGUGGUGUGUGCUUACAACGCGUGCCAAUCAGCUGGUCUUCGGUGUGCUUUGGGGAGUCAACGGCUACCUCUCACAAGCUUUCCGCGUACUGAAGCUGGGUGCUGAUGUCACUUCAGGAUGAAGAACCGUUCUAAAAAACGCAAACGACAUAAUCCUGAUCCAUUGCAAGAGCUCCGACAUGACUGCCUCAGCAAUGGCCGAGUGCCUCUGCAGUGCCACCACAAGAUCCCACUGCCUCACUGUUCAUCGGAGAAUUGACAUGUUUUCCUCGCCAGCGUGUGUUGUGUAUGCAGCUACUUGAAACGCUCCGCACGCCUGAGUGUCUCUACACAGAUUCGUCAUGAUUGUGAUCACUCAAUGUCUCUUUAAACACUGUACCACAUUGUCCAACAAUUUUGACAUGCCUAUUACAAAAUCAUUUAUAUGUUUUGUUUUCUGGAGUGAACUUUGUUA
rnacentral:lncRNA from 1 species